CUCGCUGCCUCUUUGGACUCCUGGAGAGUGGAGACGCCAUUGCCGCUCACGAGGAGGAACAUCAACGCCGACGCAGCAGAUCAACCGCCAGUCCGCCACCUCCCGCUGCUGCCGAUGACUUAGAAGGUCAGACGCCACCUCUCGCUCCCUCUCCCUGCCGCCGUUGCUGACGCAGCAGAUCAACCGCCAGUCCGCCACCUCCCGCUACCGCCGAAGACAUACUUACUGGGAACUCAAGGAAUUCAACAACGUGGUGGAUAGGAUCAUAGGAGAAUAGAAGAUCUCUUAACAAUUAUGGAGCAAUGUUUACAUGAUUAUGUUUAGGAGCUAAUAGUUGUGGUGCUAAUCUGGUUGCUAAAUGGACUGUUGAUUUGAAUCAGUAUGCAUGUGAAAGCUUGAGGUUAAGCCAUCCAGAGACAAAUGAGAUAAAGCCACCUGAAACACUUGUGUGUUGCCUAAGGCCCUACCAGAAACAGGCUCUUUACUGGAUGUCAGAAUUGGAGAAGGGAACUGAGGCAGAGCAAACAACCAUAGUUUUGCAUCCAUGUUGGGCAGCAUAUCGAAUUUGUGAUGAGAGGGGUCCUGCAAUUUAUGUGAACAUUUUCUCUAGUGAAAAGAAGAUGGGGAAUGCUAUUGGCCUGGGGAAAACUAUAAUGACAAUUGCUCUACAACUGCAAUUAUAACAGCUCCUGUAUUAAAGGGGCAGGAAGUAGUGGAGGCUCAUAUAUUAGUUGAAAACUUGACCCAACAGCUUACAAGAGUUUCUGAAAGCAUAAAUGAUAGAAGCAAGAAGCUCAAACAGAUCAAAGAGGAAAAAGACGACUUGAAGGUUAUGGAAGACAAUUAUCAGGAUACCCUUCAGGAGGAGGAGAGAGAAUUGGAGCAACUCUUAAAUAAAAGGAAAACCUAUCUUGCAAAACAAAAUGAGUAUUCGAAGAAGAUUCGAGAAAAAGGUAUGCCAAGAUCAAAAAGGUUCAUGGAUAUGAGAGUCGGCCAAGGUCUCAACAACAAUUUUCUAUGUCAACACACGAGCAAUUGUUGAAUGAUGCACCACAUGAAGAUACAUUUCCAAAUCAUGAACAAACUCAGGAUAAUGAUACACCUCAAGAGCAAACUCAGGAUGAAACACCACAAGAGCAGUGCUAAUGGGUUGAAAGAUGGAAUGAACAGAGGGAGACUGGGACUUUCCCUGGGCCACUUUAACUUGAUGUGGAUUUAGACAAUGUUCAUCAUCUUGUUAUGAAAUUUGGCCUUUUGAUUUCCUUUUGAAUGUCAAUGGAUUAAUAAGCAUUCUUGUACUGGCUUCUUAAAAAGCUUUAUUGGUUUGGGAGUUUCUAAAACAAUUGGCUUCCAGUAUAUAAAGAUUCUUUGUUUUUGUUAUAAAUAUUAGUUAUAAUUGAUUUUCUUUCCAAUUAAAUGUGUACAUAGAGGUUAUUUGUGAUUGUAAUAUGAAUUUGAAUAUAAAGAUUUUUGAAUAAA